AAAGCUAUAGUUUAAUUUAAAAUUUAUGAUUUGCACUCAUAAGAUAUUUCCCAAAAUUAGCUUUA
rnacentral:tRNA from 1 species